rnacentral:rRNA from 1 species
UGGGGAAUAUUGCACAAUGGGCGCAAGCCUGAUGCAGCCAUGCCGCGUGUAUGAAGAAGGCCUUCGGGUUGUAAAGCACUUUCAGCGGGGAGGAAGGGAGUAAAGUUAAUACCUUUGCUCAUUGACGUUACCCGCAGAAGAAGCACCGGCUAACUCCGUGCCAGCAGCCGCGGUAAUACGGAGGGUGCAAGCGUUAAUCGGAAUUACUGGGCGUAAAGCGCACGCAGGCGGUGUGUUAAGUCAGAUGUGAAAUCCCCGGGCUCAACCUGGGAACUGCAUCUGAUACUGGCAAGCUUGAGUGUCGUAGAGGGGGGUAGAAUUCCAGGUGUAGCGGUGAAAUGCGUAGAGAUCUGGAGGAAUACCGGUGGCGAAGGCGGCCCCCUGGACGAAGACUGACGCUCAGGUGCGAAAGCGUGGGGAGCAAACGGG